rnacentral:rRNA from 1 species
GACUGGGGCGGUUCGCCGCCCCCGACGUCGCGAGAAGUCCAUUGAACCUUAUCAUUUAGAGGAAGGAGAAGUCGUAACAAGGUUUCCGUAGGUGAACCUGCGGAAGGAUCAUU